rnacentral:rRNA from 1 species
GUAUAAGUAAGCGGAGGAAAAGAAACUAAAUAGGAUUCCCUCAGUAAUGGCGAAUGAACAGGGAUGAGCUCAGCAUGGAAAUCGGGGUCUAUGGCCUUGAAUUGUAGUCUGGAGAUUGUACUGCCAACGAGGGCGCAGAUGUAAGCCUCUUGGAAAAGAGCAUCAAUGAGGGUGAGAGUCCCGUUUGCCAUCUGUAGUCCUCGUGUACGGUGUGCCUUCCAAGAGUCACGUUCCUCGGGAUUGGAGCGCAAAGUGGGUGGUAAAUUUCAUCUAAAGCUGAAUAUUGGUUCGAGACCGAUAGCGCACAAGUA